rnacentral:rRNA from 1 species
UCAAUCAGGUAAGAUACCGUGAACUAAGCAU